AUAUGGACAAUCUAAGGCACAUGUGUCAAACUCAAGGCCCGAGGGCCAAAUCCGGCCCCUUGCAGAUUUAGAUCUGGCCCGUAUAUCAAUUUGGGUUCACAAUACAUUUUGGCCCGCCUAGUUGUGCGCCAAACCAAGAACACAG